rnacentral:SRP_RNA from 1 species
CACUCUUGGGUCCGGUGUCAAAUCAUGGCCGAGCGCUGCGUGCCCGCGUUGCAGCAGAGCCGAGGCCUCCCCCAGAACCAGUGGGCGAAAUGCCGGAGAAGGCUGGUGACGGAGCGUACAAGAGCAAAACAGACGCUUGUGCAGCGUGCAA